AGAGGAGAACACCAUCAGCCUGCACUUGUGCGGUUCAACAAGUGAGUAUAUCAAGAACUGUCAUAGAACGAUGCUCGCACAUAUAAUACAAUCAAGAGCAAGGAGGGGGGUUGAGUUGGUUAUGUAUCAUAAGUACUAUGAGAUCCAAUCAGGGGCCAAAAAAUAAUGCAAUCACCACAUGCUUGGUUAAUUAAUGGUACCAUACGUACGUACAUAUCUAGCAAGAGGCAGUCCAUCCGGACAAACUCAGAUCAUGUCCCGGCGGCUCGGCAUCGUCGUUCUUCUGUCCUUCCCAUCAUCAUCUGUACCGUUGGUUCUCGCGCUUGCUCAGGCUCCCAUCCUCCAUCGAGCUUGAUCUGUCAGUUGCCGCAUCCCUUCGGGGCUUCCUGUCCUGCACAUUUCAUUCGUUGCAGUUGACAAUGUGAGUAACUGAUCACUGAUGUUGAGCGAAUGAAAGAUUAUAGCAAGGUUGCCGAGAUAGUAGGAAGAAACAUACGUCGCGGGGGUUUAGGUCCUCCAUCUCCAGCAUGUGGAUCACAUGCCCCAUUUUAGGCCGCUUAUGGCCAUCGGGGUCGACGCAGCGAAGGGCGACCAGAAGAGCCCGCUUCAGGGCUUUCGGGGAAGGCCUCUCGGGGAGCUUGGGGUCGACCACUUCCUCUGCUUUCCUCUCAGCCACCAUGUUCUUCAGCCACUCGAUCAAGUUCACCUGGAAAAUACAAGAAUUUGGCUUCAUCGGGCCGCCUCCACAGUUCUGAAAAGAAACUAAUAGAAAUGGGCUAAAAAAAAAAAACUUACCUCUCCAGCUGACCUAGUAUAAUCUACAGGAGAUCUACCAGUUAUGAUCUCCAUCAAAAGAACGCCAAAGCUAUACACAUCGCUCCUCUCAGUUAACAUUCCGGUGCUGGCGUAUUCAGGCGCCACAUAGCUGCAACAUAAAGCAAAAGGUUCAGUCAUAACAAGAUAUACAACCUUUUCUGCAUCACCGAGCACUAAAAGACUAUCGACACUAACCCAAAGGUUCCCAUAACACGGGUGGUAACAUAGCUUUCCUCCGAGCACAGCAAUUUUGCAAGCCCAAAAUCCGAUACUUUAGCAUUCCACUGCUUGUCGAUGAGAAUAUUGCUAGAUUUGACGUCGCGGUGGACAACCUUCGGUUCCAGCCCUUCGUGAAGAUAGGCCAGCCUGGGCAAGCAAAAUCGGGUGUCAGAGGUAACGAAUUUAACUAUCACAUCCAGCAUUGAAGAGAGCUGUUGAGGUUGUUUAAGCAAACCACCGGCAAUAUUACUUCCAGGCAAAGAAUAUAACAGCUAGAGUGCUUGCGAGUGCACAUGAUGCUUCAGUUCAGGCUUUGACCGCUAAACAGAAUCACAAUGUUCUAUUCUACAAACAUACGCAAG
rnacentral:lncRNA from 1 species